rnacentral:rRNA from 1 species
UACGAAGGGGGCUAGCGUUGUUCGGAAUCACUGGGCGUAAAGCGUACGUAGGCGGACCAUUAAGUCGGGGGUGAAAUCCUGGAGCUCAACUCCAGAACUGCCUUCGAUACUGGCGAUCUUGAGUCCGGAAGAGGUGAGUGGAACUCCUAGUGUAGAGGUGGAAUUCGUAGAUAUUAGGAAGAACACCAGUGGCGAAGGCGGCUCACUGGUCCGGUACUGACGUCUGGAGGUGCGAAAGCGUGGGGAGCAAACAGG